rnacentral:rRNA from 1 species
AGUGAACGCUGGCGGCAGGCCUAACACAUGCAAGUCGAACGGCAGCACAGUAAGAGCUUGCUCUUACGGGUGGCGAGUGGCGGACGGGUGAGGAAUACAUCGGAAUCUACUUUUUCGUGGGGGAUAACGUAGGGAAACUUACGCUAAUACCGCAUACGACCUACGGGUGAAAGCAGGGGAUCUUCGGACCUUUCGCGAUUGUAUGAGCCGAUGUCGGAUUAGCUAGUUGGCGGGGUAAAGGCCCACCAAGGCCACGAUCCGUAGCUGGUCUGAGAGGAUGAUCAGCCACACUGGAACUGAGACACGGUCCAGACUCCGACGGGAGGCAGCAGUGGGGAAUAUUGGACAAAGGGCGCAAGCCUGAUCCAGCAAUACCGCGUGGGUGAAGAAGGACUUCGGGUUGGAAAGCCCUGUUGUUGGGAAAGAAAAACAGCAGGUUAAUCCGCCGCUGUUCUGACGGUACCCAAAGAAUAAGCACCGGCUAACUUCGUG